rnacentral:rRNA from 1 species
GGGGGAUACUGCACAAUGGAGGAAACUCUGAUGCAGCAACGCCGCGUGAGGGAAGAAGGUUUUCGGAUUGUAAACCUCUGUCCUCAGGGACGAUAAUGACGGUACCUGAGGAGGAAGCUCCGGCUAACUACGUGCCAGCAGCCGCGGUAAUACGUAGGGAGCAAGCGUUGUCCGGAUUUACUGGGUGUAAAGGGUGCGUAGGCGGCACUGCAAGUCAGGUGUGAAAACUAUGGGCUUAACUCAUAGAUUGCACUUGAAACUGUGGUGCUUGAGUGAAGUAGAGGCAGGCGGAAUUCCCGGUGUAGCGGUGAAAUGCGUAGAGAUCGGGAGGAACACCAGUGGCGAAGGCGGCCUGCUGGGCUUUAACUGACGCUGAGGCACGAAAGCAUGGGUAGCAAAC